rnacentral:rRNA from 1 species
UACGUAGGGGGCAAGCGUUGUCCGGAAUCAUUGGGCGUAAAGAGCGCGUAGGCGGUCCGGUAAGUCGGUGGUGAAAACUGGGGGCUCAACCCUCAGAGGCCGACCGAUACUGCCGGGCUAGAGUCCGGAAGAGGCGAGUGGAAUUCCUGGUGUAGCGGUGAAAUGCGCAGAUAUCAGGAGGAACACCAAUGGCGAAGGCAGCUCGCUGGGACGGUACUGACGCUGAGGCGCGAAAGCGUGGGGAGCAAACAGG